rnacentral:ncRNA from 1 species
CUGUAUAAAGGGCAAACUUGCCGAAAGUCAAGGACGCAAAGCCGAGGGUCUAAGGUACCAGAGCAUUAUGAUAGUCUGGCUGCCAUA